GACGAACGCUGGCGGCGUGCUUAACACAUGCAAGUCGAACGGAAAGGCCCUGCUUUUGUGGGGUGCUCGAGUGGCGAACGGGUGAGUAACACGUGAGUAACCUGCCCUUGACUUUGGGAUAACUUCAGGAAACUGGGGCUAAUACCGGAUAGGAGCUCCUGCUGCAUGGUGGGGGUUGGAAAGGUUCGGCGGUUGGGGAUGGACUCGCGGCUUAUCAGCUUGUUGGUGGGGUAGUGGCUUACCAAGGCUUUGACGGGUAGUCGGCCUGAGAGGGUGACCGGCCACAUUGGGACUGAGAUACGGCCCAGACUCCUACGGGAGGCAGCAGUGGGGAAUAUUGCACAAUGGGCGGAAGCCUGAUGCAGCAACGCCGCGUGCGGGAUGACGGCCUUCGGGUUGUAAACCGCUUUCGCCUGUGACGAAGCGUGAGUGACGGUAAUGGGUAAAGAAGCACCGGCUAACUACGUG
rnacentral:rRNA from 1 species